ensembl:lncRNA glucagon receptor
CAUCUCCCCCCCUUCCAGCAGCAGCUGCAGGACUAAGGGAUGACACACACCUUGCUCCUCCUGACCCUGCUCACGCUCUCCUCUAGCAUCCAGUGGAGACUGAUGAAAAGAUCCCAGUCUUUCGGAAUGCCGUGUCCGGAGAGAUGACA